CACGCCCUCCCCGCCUGGGUCGCGGGCGCCGAGCGCAGGCCCCGCCCACUCCCCCGCCUCACCCCGGCGAACCCGCCGCGUAGCUGGGCUCAUUGAAUAUUAAUCACGCGCCGGCAGCGGGAAGGCGGGAGACAGGCAGGGCGGGAGCUCCUCGGCGGGCCUCAUGAAUAUGCAUCACCUGCAUGACGGCAUUCCAGGCGGAAGAGGGGAGAGCAGGAGGGCGGCGGUGAGGCGGGGCUUCAGGGUAAACAAACGGGACGGCGUACGAGGGCGGGGCUGGGGGGGGGCAGUUUCCCAGGAGGUUCCGGCGCGAGCCUCAGAGAGGGGGAGGCAGAGACGACAGAUGCGCGCGGUGCACCUUGGGAGUUGUAGUUCCAAUGCGCGGACGGGCAUGUCCGAAGGAAACGUGGUGAACUACAAGCCCCAGAGAUCCUUAAACUAUGCCCCUCCUUUCAGCCAGCCGUGUGCCCUGAACAGUGGGUAUUCUGCCCUCUGCUGUUGAACUCCGUGCCCGGGAAUGUUCUUGUUCAUUAACUUGUACUUAGCCCGCACACUCCCGCUUCCCAGAAGACUUUCGUUUUCCCGGCUAAUUGAAAGAGAGGGCUUUGAAGGGACUCUAAACGGUACAAAGGUCCCCAGCCUUUGGUCUUCACCUCCACCACCCAUUGAACGUGCUUAGUGGAAAUCGUGCAGCCCCGACCCGAUCCUCCAGUUCCUACAUCUGAGAAGGAAAAAGGCAAAGGGCUGAGAUCUCAUUUUUCCCUGUUGGUCUGAAGGUUUGAAGUAACUUAAUGACACAGAAAGCGAUGGAAAGUAGAGGAAACGCUGGAAUGGAGACACGGUGGGAUAUGAGAUGGGCUGGUCCUGUAUGUUCUCUCUUAACGCCUUCCCUUGUUUCUUCUUUCAACAUUCAGAAAAAGUUAUACUCUACGGCUACAAUGUUAUUCGUGGUCUGAAAAGUUGCACUUUCUUGUCAGUUGAAACAAUAUUGUAGGCUAGAUUAGAAUAGCAUACUAUUUAAAAGAAUUUAGUAAAAUUUUUAAUUUAAUUAAUAUUUCCCCACAUUGUUUUAGAAAUCUGGAUUUUCACAUUUGAGACUUUUUCAACUUUAUACUAUCCAGGGCCUGCCUUAACUUCAACAAAGUUACUAAACUUGAGGGUGAAUUGGGGGUGAGGGGUUUGAGGAAAGACGAAGGAGAGAGAAACAGAGAAACUGGAACUUGUACCUGAAAUAACAGAAACUAGUAAGGGCAGGGAAAGUUGUACUUGGGUUAUCUACACAGUUUCAUUGAAGAGGAAUGGAGGAAGUUACAGGACCAAAAAAUAUAUAUUUAUCUUGAUUCUUGAAAUUCCUGAAAAUGAUUUUUUAUAUUUUUCUUUUGAAGUAUUACCUCUUGGUCUCAUGAAACAAAUGUUUAUUCCAUUUCAAUUCAAUCAACAGCACAGAGUUACAUUUUUAAAAUUAGGAAGAAUGCAAGUUCUCCCAAGAGACAUAAGAUAGUCAAGUCAAUUAAUUUAACAAAUAAUUAUAAACAUAUUAUAUGCCAGGUACUCUGUUACAGCAAUUGAAUAAAUCAGACACUGUCCUUGCCUUCACAGAGCUUAUAGAUUAGCAAGAAAGAGGUUCAACAAGUGAGAGGGAUGUGGACGAGGGGAGAAUACUGGGUGCCAUGGAGGAAGCAAAAAUAAAACAAGAGAACUGACCUAGUCUAGGGAGUCCAACAAUAGAGACCUCACUUUGGAUGAAAUUUUCUGGAACAAAUGAAGCUGAGUACUUGCUGAAGGCUAAGUCUCUGAAAGAAAGUAAAGAGGCAGAGAAAGAGAAAUAUAGAUUCACUUCGCAGUGAAGAUGGCAUCGGGCAGUGGGACAAAAAACUUGGACUUUCGCCGAAAGUGGGACAAAGAUGAAUAUGAGAAGCUCGCCGAGAAGAAGCUCACGAAAGAGAGAGAAAAGAAGGAUGGAAAACCAGUGCAGCCAGUCACGCGAGAGCUUCUCCAGCAUCGGGACUCCAAGGUGGACCUGGAAUCCAAACUUGGGAAGACAAUCGUCAUUACCAAGACCACCCCACAGUCUGAGAUGGGAGGAUACUAUUGCAAUGUCUGUGACUGUGUGGUGAAAGACUCCAUCAACUUCCUGGAUCACAGUAAUGGAAAGAAACAUCAGCGAAACCUGGGCAUGUCUAUGCGUGUGGAAUGUUCCACUUUGGAUCAGGUGAAGAAACGUUUUGAAGUCAACAAGAAGGAGAUGGAAGAGAAGCAGAAGGAUUAUGACUUUGAGGAAAGGAUGAAGGAACUCAGAGAAGAGGAGGAAAAAGCCAAAACCUACAAGAAAGAGAAACAGAAGGAGAAGAAAAGGAGGGCGGAGGAGGACUUGACAUUGGAGGAGGAAGGUGAGAUGACAGCUGUGAUGGGCUUCUCUGGCUUCGGUUCCACCAAGAAGAGUUACUGAGGCUUUCUAUGCUUGGCUUUUUGCCAGGCCUAACUUUGUGUGUGUGGGCGUCAUCUUUCGGGAGGUACUGGGGAAAGUCCUUAAGAGUGGCAGCCGGGAGGGCUAGAGGGUGGGUGUUUGUGGUUUCCCUCUACCUUGGGAGAGAGCACAGGAUGCAACGGAGUGUGCUGUGGCAUGUUCCUUCAGCCUCAGUAUUUCACUGGAGACAGAGGACCUCUGAUCAUCUGAGUUCCCAAUAAAGAAAAACCACCUCUUCUGAGGCUGCUUUCCCGAAAAAAAAAAAA